rnacentral:rRNA from 1 species
UUGAGCUCAGAUCAGGUAGGACUACCGCCUGAACUUAAGCAUAUCAAUAAGGCGAGGAACAGAAACCAACAGGGAUUCCCCUAGUAGUGGCGAAUGAAGCGGGAAAAGCUCAAGUUUGAAAUCUGGCGGGCGACCUCCAGAGUUGUAAGCUGAAGAGGCAUAGACCGACGAGGUCCAGGCUCAAUUUCCUUGGAACAGGAGGUCAUGGAGGGUGAGAACCCCGUCUGUGGCUUGGGUGCCGUCGUCCUUGUGUCCUGUCCUCGUAGAGUCGGGUUGUUUGGGAAUGCAGCUCAAAAUGGGUGGUAAAUUUCAUCUAAGGCUAAAUAUUUGCGAGAGACCGAUAGCAAACAAGUAGAGUGAUCGAAAGAUGAAAAGUACUUUGAAAAGAGAGUGAAACAGUACGUGAAAUUGUUGAAAGGGAAGCGUUUGGCAUCAGCCCGUGGUGGCCAAAGAUCAACCAGGCUUCUGUCUGGUGCACUUUUUGGGCACUGGGCCAGCGUCGACUUUGCUUGCCGGAGAAAGGCCUUGGGGAUGUGGCUCCCUUUGGGGAGCGUUAUAACCCUCGGCGUCAUGCGGUGUGGUGGGGUCGAGGUCCGCGG